UGGGGAAUUUUGGACAAUGGGGGAAACCCUGAUCCAGCCAUCCCGCGUGUGCGAUGAAGGCCUUCGGGUUGUAAAGCACUUUUGGCAGGAAAGAAACGUCAUGGGUUAAUACCCCGUGAAACUGACGGUACCUGCAGAAUAAGCACCGGCUAACUACGUGCCAGCAGCCGCGGUAAUACGUAGGGUGCAAGCGUUAAUCGGAAUUACUGGGCGUAAAGCGUGCGCAGGCGGUUCGGAAAGAAAGAUGUGAAAUCCCAGAGCUCAACUUUGGAACUGCAUUUUUAACUACCAGGCUAGAGUGUGUCAGAGGGAGGUGGAAUUCCGCGUGUAGCAGUGAAAUGCGUAGAUAUGCGGAGGAACACCGAUGGCGAAGGCAGCCUCCUGGGAUAACGCUGACGCUCAUGCACGAAAGCGUGGGGAGCAAACAGG
rnacentral:rRNA from 1 species